AAAAUUAGUUAAAGAAUAACACAAGCUUGUCAAGCUUGAAUUACUUUCAAAAGUAUUUUA
rnacentral:tRNA from 1 species